rnacentral:rRNA from 1 species
CAGCCGCCGCGGUAAUACGAAGGGUGCAAGCGUUACUCGGAAUUACUGGGCGUAAAGCGUGCGUAGGUGGUGGUUUAAGUCCGUUGUGAUAGCCCUGGGCUCAACCUGGGAAUUGCAGUGGAUACUGGGUCACUAGAGUGUGGUAGAGGAUAGUGGAAUUUCCGGUGUAGCAGUGAAAUGCGUAGAGAUCGGAAGGAACAUCUGUGGCGAAGGCGACUAUCUGGGCCAACACUGACACUGAGGCACGAAAGCGUGGGGAGCAAACAGGAUUAGAUACCCCCGUAGUCCUGUCUCUUAUACA